AUCAGCCCGGUUCUGGUUGAUUCAAACAUUCAUUGGAACGUAUAUAUGGCAAGAUCCAGUCUUGACGAAGACCAGGCGACUGAACUCGCANNNNNNNNNGGAUCCGAACCGCUUGCGGAUCGCGGUCAUCUGUCUCGGGGAGCCGCUAUGCGUGACGGACAUUGCCGAGUGCGUCGGGCUCUCCGCGGCAUUGGUAAGUCNNNNNNNCACUUGCGACUUCUGAAGGCUGCCCGGUUCGUGCAGGCCAAGCGGCGAGGCAAGCAGGUUUUCUAUGGGACGCUUGACGAUCGCGUGCGGUGCGUGAUCUGGGACAUGGUCGGCCACGUAGGCGGCGAUACCUCCGCUUUAGAGAAACAGGANNNNNNNNNNNNNGAAAGAAAUGACGUCUGUCAGUUGCAGUUCAACGGCGAUGUCAUGCACGGUGCUGCGACCACGGCUGCGGGUUCGACCAACGCACAGUUAAGGGACGGAUAUAGGGGAGGGACUAUCCGCGCGCGCGAACCAUAACGACGAGCCGGUCACACACGAGCGGUGUGACAUGCCGAUAACUCGCCGUCCAUCAUUCAUGCGUUCCAUGCGAGCGCGCUUCACAUCAAUGCG
rnacentral:misc_RNA from 1 species